CACAGGAGAGCCUUUGAUCUCUGUGUGUGCCUGCCAGUUGGCCACUGCUGUGUCAGAAAUGCCUCUGCUGUUAGCAGGGAAUGUGAGUGUGAUAAAGGAGAAUUUCUGAGCCUGCUGUAUGCAGAGCUCCAGCUUCCUCCUGCCUCCAGAAUAUUCUGUUGUUCCAUAACCAGCUGGAUGGUCACACUGCUCUGUACUCCUCCACACACCACCUGAAGAAACACACAAAGCCAAGCUCCAAGACCCUCAGACGAGCUGGACUAAAUCAUUGGUGCCACAGAACAUUUCCUCAGGCUGCAUGAGGAGACUGUCAUCAUUUCUAGGGCUGCCUCAGCUGCCAGCAGUGACAAUGGUGGCUGUGUUGUCCCAGUACUACCCACAGUGCAGUCCAGCUUGCAAGGAUGGGCACCGUGCAGUCAGCCUGCAGCAUGGAAAAGAUGGGAAGCUCUUUUCCUUCAGGGAAGAGGUAAAAUAUCUGCUAUUCUGUCACUAUCAGAGCCAUGAUCCUGUGGAACUCACUGAGGAGAUCGGGGAACCUGCAGAGACAUCAAUGGAAAACUGUCAUGGAGCUUAAACCAAAGCUGGAGGUGGCCAUGGGACCUACAGAGUAACUACUCUGGGGGUUGCCCUGGGCUCCAGGGAAGCACCUGUGACACCCCUGGGACACUGAGCAGCACACAUGGUGCCUGUGUUAAGCUGGGGACUCCCAGCACCUAUGGAGGCUGUUCCUCUCUCCCCUCUCGGCUUUGCCCUGUUGCAGGAUGUGAUCUCACCCAGCAGGAGCCUCACUGGACCUGAGACAGCCCACCCAGAACAUGAAAACCUGGAGGCCACGAGUCCUGAGGCACCUUCAGGAAACACUUCAGCUGUCCUCCAUGCCUUCCCUCUCCAAAGCCUCUGCUUGGCACAAAGGUGACACAUCUGGCCUGAAAAGAGCAAAAUGAAGAUGAUAAUUUUGAAGAUCUAUCACCUAAAAUCUCCUUGGGAGCAGUGACCUGCUAAUCAGAUUAGCUAUGAUGAGGAUAAUUGUGAAUAUCGACACAGCUUACCUAACAGCCCCAGUCCUGCAGAUAAGAAAUGCCAGCAAGGAUGAAGGAUAAAAUAGGGUGUCAUUAAGCUAAUGAGACCCAUAUGCUUGUGCAGACAAAGAAGAAUGAACUAAAUGCAUGCAAGAGCCAAAAAGCAGAUGAAUGAACCACGGCAGACAUCCUGAAAUCAUGUUUAAAAUGCAAAUAUUGAUAUUUCUCAGGCUUUUCUCCCGUAUGUAAAUCACAUCGGAAUAAGGCGUCUGGUAGAAGAGAACAUAUUUUGCCUUUGAGCUCAGACACAAACGAAGCAAACCCAACUGGAGAGAACUCCUAGAGGCUGCCAUGAUUCCUGUAGACCACAGACAACUGGGAGUCACAAACCAGCCUUGCCAUCACGAUGGAUGCCAAGCCUGAAAGUCAUUUAUAUGCAAAUCUGCACAAAUUAAUCAGAGAGGAUUUUGUCCUAAAAAUGCAAAUGAUAUCUUUUUCUCCUGGGAUCAAACUGCAAAUGUUGGCUUUGGGAAAUCCAGAAAUAAUUGCAGUCAGAAAGCACUUCAGUGCCAAAGAAAUUAUCCUCUUCUGUUUCCAUAUUACUUGUACGGAAGAGAAUAAAGAAAAGAGAAACAAAC